ACUCCUACGGGAGGCAGCAGUAGGGAAUCUUCGGCAAUGGACGAAAGUCUGACCGAGCAACGCCGCGUGAGUGAAGAAGGUUUUCGGAUCGUAAAACUCUGUUGUUAGAGAAGAACGUUGUGUAGAAUGGAAAAUUACACAAGUGACGGUAUCUAACCAGAAAGGGACGGCUAACUACGUGCCAGCAGCCGCGGUAAUACA
rnacentral:rRNA from 1 species